GGGUGUUUAGCUCAGUUGGCUAGAGCAUUUCCUUUACACGGAAAGGGCCGGGGGUCCGAGUCCCUCAACACCCACCA
rnacentral:tRNA from 1 species